UACGGGGGGGGGCAAGCGUUGUUCGGAAUUACUGGGCGUAAAGCGCGCGCAGGCGGUCCUUUAAGUCUGAUGUGAAAGCCCACGGCUCAACCGUGGAGGGUCAUUGGAAACUGGGGGACUUGAGUACAGAAGAGAAGAGUGGAAUUCCACGUGUAGCGGGUGAAAUGCGUAGAGAUGUGGAGGAACACCAGUGGCGAAGGCGACUCUUUGGUCUGUAACUGACGCUGAGGCGCGAAAGCGUGGGGAGCAAACAG
rnacentral:rRNA from 1 species